rnacentral:rRNA from 1 species
GACGAACGCUGGCGGCGUGCUUAACACAUGCAAGUCGAGCGAUGAAAUUCCUUCGGGAAUGGAUUAGCGGCGGACGGGUGAGUAACACGUGGGUAACCUGCCUCAUAGAGGGGAAUAGCCUUCCGAAAGGAAGAUUAAUACCGCAUAAGAUUGUAGUACCACAUGGUACAGCAAUUAAAGGAGUAAUCCGCUAUGAGAUGGACCCGCGUCGCAUUAGCUAGUUGGUGAGGUAACGGCUCACCAAGGCGACGAUGCGUAGCCGACCUGAGAGGGUGAUCGGCCACAUUGGGAUUGAGACACGGCCCAGACUCCUACGGGAGGCAGCAGUGGGGAAUAUUGCACAAUGGGGGAAACCCUGAUGCAGCAACGCCGCGUGAGUGAUGACGGUCUUCGGAUUGUAAAACUCUGUCUUCAGGGACGAUAAUGACGGUACCUGAGGAGGAAGCCACGGCUAACUACGUGCCAGCCGCCGCAGUAA